UACAGAGGUCUCAAGCGUUGUUCGGAUUUAUUGGGCGUAAAGGGCGCGUAGGCGGCGGGGUAAGUCGGGUGUGAAAUCUCAGGGCUCAACCCUGAAACUGCACUUGAUACUGCUCUGCUUGAGGACUGGAGAGGAGACUGGAAUUUACGGUGUAGCAGUGAAAUGCGUAGAGAUCGUAAGGAAGACCAGUGGCGAAGGCGGGUCUCUGGACAGUUCCUGACACUGAGGCACGAAGGCCAGGGGAGCAAACGGG
rnacentral:rRNA from 1 species